rnacentral:rRNA from 1 species
CAAUAGCGUAUAUUAAAGUUGUUGCAGUUAAAAAGCUCGUAGUUGGAUUUCUGGUGGGAGCGAUCGGUCUGGCGAUUAGCGCGAGUACUUGCAUCGUCUCCGGCCAUCCUUGGGGAGAGUCUGUCUGGCAUUAAGUUGUCGGGCAGAGGAUCCUCAUCGUUUACUGUGAAAAAAUUAGAGUGUUCAAAGCAGGCUUAUGCCGUUGAAUAUAUUAGCAUGGAAUAAUAAGAUAGGACUUUGGUACUAUUUUGUUGGUUUGCGCACCAAAGUAAUGAUUAAUAGGGACAGUUGGGGGUAUUCGUAUUCCGUUGUCAGAGGUGAAAUUCUUGGAUUUACGGAAGACGAACUACUGCGAAAGCAUUUACCAAGGAUGUUUUCAUUAA